CAUGUACUCCCUCCGUCCUAAUUAUUUUGUCUUAGAUUUGUCUAAAUACGGAUGUAUCAAGUCACGUUUUAGUAUUAGAUACAUCUGUAUCUAGGCAAAUCUAAGACAAGAAUUUUGGGACGGAGGGAGUAUUUA
rnacentral:pre_miRNA from 1 species